CCACUCGACGACGACGAGCUCAUCUCCUACAUCAUGGCUGGGCUCGACAUAAAGUACCAGUCGCUCGUCUCCGCCCUCGACGCACGCGUCGAACCUGUCACCCUUGACGAACUGUUUGCUCAGAUGAGCAACUUCGAUC
rfam:Hordeum vulgare subsp. vulgare, WGS project CAJW01000000 data, contig: morex_contig_2556488